UCCUAGCUUUGUGAUUCGGUAUAACUCCUGCCCCUCGUUCUGUCGCAGCCAAUCCGACCUAGACUCGACCAGUCUUGCUUGGAAACGGAGAACUCCAGGUCCUGCGCCUUGAGCACAAAGUAACAACGGGACCCCAGUGUGCUGACCAGGAGAGCCCAAGCCUCACAUUUAGCGUGCAUCAGCUACAACCAACCAACUCUAAAGACUCGGAGAAUAGACAAAGCAGUCCUGAGUUUUAUUCUUCCUGCUUAUAAGGAAUCUCCUGAUGAUUAGGCAGCAUAUUAUACUUGAGGAGAAGCAACCCACUGCUAUCUUUCUCCUCACUUGGUUCAGUAUUCCUGGAAUAUUCAGCUGCAUGACAGGAUGAAGAUCAACAACUAAAUACCAUUUAGCAUUGAUGGUUCAGGACCGUGGACAGCAGCACUCAUGUUGGGAAUGGGGCUUACUGAAAUUGCAGAGUGACUUUGUAAGUUUGGUCUAUCACAAAAUAAAUUUGUUGGCAUGGCUACAAACGGAUAAGGUGCUGGCCAGAAUAUUAAAAUUCAUGGCUGAAUUAAUUUUUUUUUCUUCCCUUCAUGGAGGGGAGGGGAAAAAAAACAUUAACAUUAUCACAAAGAAAGGCUGGCGCGUAGUAGCACUCAAAUACCUUAAACGAAUGAACUUUUCACCUUAAUGAUAAAGAGUGGCUCAAUAUGUAGGCAUAGUUGAUGGCUCUUUUAAAGUGAUCAUUCCAUAUCAAUAACUGCAAAGGAAAUUUGUGUAUUUUUUUACUGUAGUGUCCAUGGUGUCAAUGAAAAUAAGGUUGUCAAAAGUUGAACUGAAAAAGAGGACUGAGUUGAGAUUCAGUCACUAACACAGGAUAAUGCAAAUUAGUUUUAGAUGUAAAAUUAAAAACAUCAUUGGCUAUUUUUAUGACAAAAUUUUAAAAGCCCUUUCAUGGCUUUGUCCAACAAUUUAAAUGACCCUGUCAUCCAUCCUCUGACACAAGUAACUUAAGCGAAAGGUUACUUGAAACUUCACCAAUGGAGGCCUGAAAAUUUAAUAAUAUACUUUUCUGGCAGCAUUCUUUCAUCUUUGUCAUCCGCAAACAGUUCCUAAACAGAAAACAAACUAAUGCUACUCAAAUUUACAUGUUUACAUAAACUCACAUUUCAUGUGUCAUCUGUUCUGAAGAGUCUUUUUCUAAAAUUAGUUCCUACAGUUCUUGAAGUGUGUGACUUUCAUUUUGACACACAAUCAUACAACGGAUCCAACUUCUGCUGCCUGACUCGUAUGUCCUCUGAAAGACAAACAUUGAGAGCUAUGUGAAGUAGUUCACUUACUUUUCUGUUACACCUCAUUACACCUAAAAGGGCUGCCACACAAAUACUGAACACUUACAAAUCAUCUUUUUUCUGGAAUACAAGAGUGCAUCUCUUUGCUUCUUGGCACAUGUAUCUCUGGAGUAUGACAGUACGAUCAGUGAACUUGUCCUUUAAAUUGAUGAGAUGUUAUUAUCACUCCUCUUAGUUUUACCUCAACUGGGAAAUGUUCACAUAACCAUUUAGACGUGUUGCCUUAGAUCAGCAUUUAUCCAACUUUUUCCCUAAGGCAUCCACCUCUGCUGGCAAAAGUGCAUGAAGUAAAGCAGGAUCAAGGAACAUUAUUCCAAGCUGUAGAUGGCAAAUACGACAUUUCUUUGAACUCUCAUGCUUUACUUUAAAAUACAUUAGAAUUAAUUUUGCACUCUAUUCUAUAAUUCAUUCAUUCAACAAAUAUUAGGGGCCUACUGCAUGCCAGGCAUUAUUACAGGGAUACAGUAAUGAAUAAACAUAUCUGUGUUUGUUUUUAACCUAGUAACAUUUUAAUACAACUGGCACGAGUAGAAAAACAAAAACUUUACCAAAUCAAAGAGCAAAACCGAUAAUCCAAGAUGGAACAAUUAUUGCUUCAAAUACCACUAGUCAUGCUAUUGCAACCUGAAAGUAUAUUUGCACCCAUUUGAGCAGCAUAGUCUUGGGCUAAUUCCCAGAAUACAAAGCCAACAGUAAAUAUUUACUCUAGAUGAAAAUAUUUGAGAAUAUUAUUAGAACUAGGUUAUUAGAAGACAACUAGGUUGUCUUCAUUUUACCAUUAGAUUCUGCCUUUAGGUUCUGAAAUGGCAAAGGUGGACAUCCACUUUAAUACCUGGAGAAAUAUAUAAAACAUAUUUUUAAAAAUCACAUGAAGUGGAUGGGAGGUUAUCAUUCCUGACACUUCAAAGUUAAGUCUUGAUUUCAGCACCACAUUGCUAACAAUUGCUUUUUUUUUUAAACCUUAAUCGAGCAGCUUCUUCCAGGUUCUUAUGUAUCUAUCUGCUGAUCAGUUUCAAAAAGAUGGGAAAAGCAAAAUCUCACAUAAGACAAACUUUUGGGUUUCUCUCUGCAUAGAAAUGCAGAACAUUCCUGUUGUUAUUCCAUUCUAUUGGUCUGGGAUCAAGGCUGACGUGAAGAUUCCUUGAAAAGUAUUAAACUCCUCAAUGGUAAUUUUAUCUUAAAUAAUUUGCUUUUUGAUUAUAAGGUCUAACUCCAAUAAUGAAGGAUUAAUAUUGCUGUUUGUGGGUAUGUGGCAUAUGUAUUUUUUUUACUGGAGGCAGCUCUUUGUAAUAGCUUUAUGAAUUUAAAAUAGCACAGCUGAUUUCCUACUGGGGUUAAGAGUCAGUCCUCCAAAACUGUAGUGACUGAAUAACUUUCAUGAAGCCUGGCUCUCCUACCUGGAGCCACAAAGUCAAUCAUCCCAAAUUAUUACAAAGGACUCUAUGUGCACGGAUGUUAAUGCGUUUCUCUUGCAGACAAUCUACAAUCCCCAAAAUUCAAACUCCUUCAGACUGGUUAAUUAGAAAAGAGGUAAAUAAAAUGCCAAAAUAUAUAGACUUCAUGACUACAGGACAGUGGUUCUUAAUCCGGAUUGUGCAUCAGAAUAAUCUGUAGAACUAGUAUGAGAUUUUGCUGUUUUAAAAUUCAGACUGGGGAUCAGUGUUCAUAAAUCUAACCUGAGAGGUGCCUAGGAAUGCAUACCUUUUAGAAACUCCACAAAUGACUCUAAUUUAAAUACUGUAAGACUGCUAUGGUUUGGAUAUUUGUCCUCUCCAAAUGCCACGUUGAAAUUUAAUCCCCAGUGUGAUGGUGUUGGGAGAUGGGGGCUAGUGGGGUGUCUGGGUUAUGGCAGGUAGAUCCCUCAUAAAUAGAUUAAUGCCUUCCUGUGGGGAACAGGGGUGAGGGAGUUCCCACCAAAGCUAGUUUAAAAAAAAAAAAAAAAAAAAACCUGGCACUUCCACCCUCACUCUCUGGCCAUGUGAUCUCUACACACAUAGUGCCUCUUCCCCUUCUACCAUGAGUGGAAGCAGCAUGAGGCCCUCACGAGAUGCAGAUACCCAACCUUCAACCUUCCUGUCAUCCAGAAUUGUGAGCCAAAUAAACUUUUUUUUUUUUUCUGAGAUGGAGUCUUG